GGUGCACACAUGUACCGUCGCCAUGUUGUUCCAGAGGGCGCCCGGCUGAGCGGAGGGCUGGGUGCCGAGGCGCCUUCUGUCCUCCUGAGAAGGCACGAUGGCGGGCUGCCUUCCUCAGAGCAGGUGACGGGCUUGGGAUGUGCUAGGCCCACCUGGAAACUGCGGCUGGCCUCAUUAAGCUUGAGUGAGGGUUCAGAUGCGAGUGUCUUCCAGGUCUUUGUUGUAGUUUAUGAACCAGUCAGUUCUAACCGAACUCAGCUUGAAUGCUGUUGAGAUAGUAGCACAAAUGUAUGUUUUCCUCUAGUAGAUUUUGUAAAUGUGGGUAUAUACAAUAAUUCAUAAGGCAUCUGAAAUCUUUUAUGGGACAAAAUUGGUAUACAUAGUUAUUUUGUCGUUGAAAGUUCUUUGUCCUAUAAUUGUGAAUUUUGAAGCUGUUCCGUAGAAGACUGCUCUUCGUUCCCAGGUCACUGUAGAUCCGUCUGGUGUACCGCCACCUCAGAGAGACGGUUAACCAAGGUGGGUCCCAAAGCUUGCGGUCAUCGUUACACGAUUCCAGCUUGCCACUAGGUGAAGUUAUAAGACGGUUAUGACGUGGGGAGUUGGGGGUGCUGGGGCGGGCUUCACAAGGCCUGAUAGAACUAGCCUGGGCACGCGUUUCGGAGGCUGGUCUCUGUUCUCUAUUUUGAAACUGUCUCUGUGCCUCAGUUUCUUUCCUUGCAUGAUUUUUUUUUAAACAUCUCCAAACUCCUAAUUUGUUUAUCUAGAAUAAUACCAUUUUAAAGAAAUUUCCUGUUUCUUUACAGCACUUAGGAAAGAGUAACUUGUUUUUGCAAAAAUGUCCCUGAGACUUACUCUCAAUAAGUGAUGGCCAUAUUGCAUAUAAAACUAGAAGAUGAUUUGGAAGGCCAGCCAGCUUGUGUCUCUCCUGAAUAUUCCUGUGUCACAGGCUUUCCUCUGCUCGCCUGGGUCAGCGAGGGGCCUGAUCCCAGCAAUGACAUCUGGACUUUGGAUGGUGACCGUGGAGCUGGUGAUGGCAUUUGUUACUAACCAGUGUCCUCCCCGCUGAGCCACGCUCCAUGGAGGAGCUCGUGACUGCCGUUUAGGCAUUUUAAUUCUCCAUAAAUCAGAGAGCAGUGUAGUGUCGCUUUGAGAAAGACAGCACAGAAAGUGUGGUACAAGCUGCAGCUUUUCUCAGUUUACUGUCAUCGUUCUCCCAGCUGACCGUUAGCUGACAUCUCGGAACCCGCCAGGCUCUUCCGCUCAGCCUCCUGCAGGGGCGGCUUCCUGUGGGCAGCGGUGCAGACGCGUCGGAUCAGCUGGGCUGUGCCCAGGACCUCACCGGCUCAGCGUUACACCUGCUGCCUCUCAGCUUGGACGUGUGCACUAUCCUGUAGUGUCAUCAUGAGUGGCAAGGUGGCCUUUCCAGUUGUUUCCCUUAUCAUCAGGGAAAUCCAAAGCCUUUUUCCUAGUUCUAUGUCUUUAUAAUUUAAGGUUUCCUAAAGUUUUGUCACGUGUUUUCCUAACCUUUGAAGACAGCUCUGCUUAUAGUGUCGGGCUGGAACAUGGGGCGAGGUGCUGGGUGUGGUUUUGGGUGAACACCCAUCAUAGCGGGAGCCGGGUGAGUUACCUGAUAGCCAAGGCUCUGUUCCUCACCGCUGCCUCCUCUGAAGAGAGACCAGCUUUACCUUUCUCAUGGGUAUUACAGGGUUUAGUGGAUUUCAAAAAAGUUGAAGUAUUUUUGGAAAGAAAUUAUUAAAAUGGGACUUUUGUAAACCAAAGCAUUUUAAUGUUUUCCUUACACUGUGGAAAGAAUCUUACAUUUGACUGAAAAGUAAGUUAGAAAUUUUUCAAAAUUGAUUUGAGAGGCCUUUGUAAUCAACCAAUUUAUUCUGAGGUUAAUUGUUAAUUUUUCUAAGAAAAUGAAGUUCCUUUUUAUAACUAACUGUAUUACCAAAAUUCCUUUCUAUUUUGUGAAAACUGUAGUGUUUAUGAAUUUAAAUUGUCAUACCUUUGUUAAGGAUCCUUAUUAAGGAUCAUGUUAAUAUAAUUUUGUGCUUGAUUUAUUUACUUUGCAUGAUCUUUAAAAGGAAGAUUUUAAGAAUUUUGUGUCAUGAAUUUUUUCAGAUGGUUACGUACUAGUUCACUGGGAAACGCAGACUAGGGUAUCCUUUGAGAAAGUUCUGGGUUUGAGUGGCUUUGAGAAGAAAAUCUCCAGCAGGGGAUGAAAGCACCUAAUUGAAGAACGGAGUCCGUGGUCCAUGCAGCGCCUGAGGCACCUUGAGGCAUCAGGAGAAGCGCUCUGCGCAGACUCCUCGCAGGUGCCCCCGUGUCCCUCUGUGGCUCUCUGCAUCGUGCUGUCCUCAGCCUCCGAGUGCCUGCAGGAUGUCCGUGAAGCUGAGCCCUGACCCAGGUGGAGUCAGGAGGCACCCCCAGCUGCACUGGCCGCCUCCACCGGGGGCUCUCUUACUGCACAGCAUGUCCAUAACUCUGUGAUUGGUGUCACAGGCCAGCUGAGAGCUGGUGCUGUCACCUGUUAACAGCCUCUGUGAAGUCUGGGGAGCAGGCAGGCCUGGUGGCCAAUGGCAAGUGUGGUCCCCGGUGAAAUGAUGGUGUCCUGUCAGCCGAAUGCUGAGCCCACACUCCAACUUGAGAACUGCCCCCGAGGCCCCUGCUGCCCAGCUCCCCUCAGGCUGCUUCCUGGAAGGGGAGAGUGCGCAGCGGAAGAACGCUGUUCCCAUCGUGCAUGCUCAGGAGGCCCACAAAGAGAAGGGCAUCGCAGACAGAAGACCAAAUCGGAAUCCCAGGUUAUGUUUUAUAUCAGCGUGAGCAUCUUAUUCUUGAAGACUUUGGAACCGAUGAAACAAUCAUAGGUGUUGCCCUGGGACUUCUGCGCAUCUGUUUCCAGGUUGCUCGCAUCAUCGGUACACGGCUUUGCUGUGUCCCUUGUCCGUGAGCCAGCCUGCUAGUUCCUCCUCUGAUCUCAGCCUGGUGACGCUUGCCGGCUCUUGGCCAUAAGUGACUUCCUGAUAGAAAAGGACCCUCAGGCUUCAGUAUCCAGCGGAGUUGGCAGCUCUGUCAGAAACGGAACUGAGGUCACUUUGAGACUACCUGCAUUCUCUUCCUGGAAGGACACCCGGCAAUAGAUGUGAAACAAAACAAGAAGCAGCCUGCAGGACAGGAAGUCGCUGCACCAAAAUGGUUUUCGCCUGCAGGAUGUGCUCUUCCUCUCACAUGUCAAUUUUGGGAAAUGGAUUGAUUCAUUUUAUAACUUUGGAAGAUACUUAUUCUUUGUUACAAGAAACAACUACUUUAUUAUAGGAACAAAAUAAUAGUAUUUGAUAACAGUUCAUUUGUCAUGUACCCUUGGAGUUUCUCUCGAUAACCAGCAUAGCUGUGUUUCUCACAGAAUUCACAUUUGUCAUUAAGAGGCUGGAACUCCGUCUACACACCAUCUGAAUUGUGACCUGGGGGCGUGUUUGCCUGGCCUCAUGCUGGCCACAUCCCUGUUUCCUUUCCAGAUCGCUCGUGUUAGUCUGAUUACUGGGCUGUGUCCAUGGACAGACAGCGCAUACUAUGUUUGGUGUUACUUUUCAGAACCUGAGCUACAGAGCUUGAGUUGGCUAAUUGAUAAGCUGUGUUUUAUAUUACAUUCCUUGUACCUUCCUGGAAAGGAAUUUGACCUUUGCAAAAACUAUGAUAAGUGAUCAUUAAAGAGGUGUUUGUAAAAUAAAUUGAAUAUCACUUCCUAAUAAGUGUUAAUCACAACACAGUGUGUCAGAAUUUAUGGAAUGCAGCUAAACAGUGCUUGGAGGGAAAUUAAUAGCGGUAAAUACCUCUGUUCAGAAGAUCUCAAAUCAAAAGUGUAAGCUUCCACCUUAGAAAUCUAGAAGAAGAAGAGCAAAAUAAAUCCAAAGCAAACCAAAGGAAAGAAAGAAUAAAGGUACCAAGACAGUUCAGUGGAGAGAAGAUUGCCCUUUUAACAAAUGAGGCUGGAAGAAUUGGAUAUCCACAUGCAAUAAGAUGAAUUUAGACCCUUCAUUAUUUACAAAAAUUAACUCAAAAUGGAUCAUACACCAGAAUGUAAGAGCUAAAACUAUGAAACUUAGAAGAAAAAAUCAUAGACAAGAAUCUUCAGGACCCUGGGAUUGGCAAACAUUUCUUAUAUAUGAUGCUAAAAGCACAAUCAUAGAAGAGAAAGUUGAUAAGUUAGACUUCAUCAAAAUUAAAAUCUGUGUCAUAAGCCACUUCAAGGAAAUGAGAAAACUGGCCACAGACUGGAGAAAAUAUUUGCAAAUCAUACUGAUAAAGGAUUGGUAUCCAGAGUAUGUAAAGAAUGCUUUAACAAGCAGACGACUCAUGUAAAAAAUGUGCAAAGGAUUUGAAUAGACAUUUCUCUAAAGAAGAUAGACAAGUGGCCAAUUGACACAUGAAAAGUUGCUCCACAUCCUCUGGAAGUUAAUAAAGGGAAACGUCACUUAAAGUGGAGUCGGGAGGCCGGAAGGGGGAGCUCCCACUCAGUACCACUCAAGGUUAGUUACAGGAAAGACGGUCAGUUACAGGUCACAACAGAAAGAAGUGUCCAUUACAGGAAGAAAUGUCUGGUGCAUCCCAAACAGAAAUCGACAACCCCAGCAACUCAGCCAACGAGAAGCCGCCGUU